rnacentral:rRNA from 1 species
ACUCCUACGGGAGGCAGCAGUGGGGAAUAUUGCACAAUGGGCGCAAGCCUGAUGCAGCCAUGCCGCGUGUAUGAAGAAGGCCUUCGGUUGUAAAGUACUUUCUAGCAGUGAGGAAGGUGGGUAUGUUAAUAGCAUACUCAUUUGACGUUAGCUGCAGAAGAAGCACCGGGCUAACUCCGUGCCAGCAGCCGCGGUAAUACGGAGGGGUGCGAGCGUUAAUCGGAAUUACUGGGCGUAAAGCGCAUGCAGGUGGUUUGUUAAGUCAGAUGUGAAAGCCCGGGGCUCAACCUCGGAAUUGCAUUUGAAACUGGCAAACUAGAGUACUGUAGAGGGGGUAGAAUUUCAGGUGUAG